UUCGCAAUGCCCGAAAGGGUGACGAAGCGACGCCGCGUGGGUGAGGAAGGCCUUCGGGUUGUAAAGCCCUGUCAGGAGUUAAGAAAUGUAAGUGUGCUAAUAUCGCAUUUACUUGACGAAGGCUCCAAAGGAAGUCACGGCUAACUCUGUGCCAGCAGCCGCGGUAAUACAGAGGUGGCAAGCGUUGUUCGGAAUUAUUGGGCGUAAAGAGCACGUAGGUGGGUUUGUAAGUCAGGUGUGAAAGCCUCCUGUUCAACGGGAGAAUUGCAUCUGAAACUACUGAUCUUGAGUAUAGGAGGGGAGAAUGGAACUUCUGGUGGAGCGGUGAAAUGCGUAGAUAUCAGAAGGAACGCCGGCGGCGAAAGCGAUUCUCUGGCCUAUUACUGACACUCAGUGUGCGAAAGCUAGGGGAGCAAACGGGAUUAGAUACCCCGGUAGUCCUAGCCGUAAACGAUGGGCACUAAGUAGAGGGGUUUU
rnacentral:rRNA from 1 species